rnacentral:rRNA from 1 species
GACGAACGCUGGCGGCGUGCUUAACACAUGCGAGUCGAACGAUGAAGCCCAGCUUGCUGGGUGGAUUAGUGGCGAACGGGUGAGUAACACGUGGGCAACCUGCCCCAAACUCUGGGAUAACUCCUCGAAAGAGGUGCUAAUACCGGAUACGAACUAGGUAGACAUCUGCACUAGUUGGAAAGUUUUUCGGUUUGGGAUGGGCCCGCGGCCUAUCAGCUUGUUGGUGAGGUAACGGCUCACCAAGGCUACGACGGGUAACCGGCCUGAGAGGGCGACCGGUCACACUGGGACUGAGACACGGCCCAGACUCCUACGGGAGGCAGCAGUGGGGAAUAUUGCACAAUGGGCGCAAGCCUGAUGCAGCAACGCCGCGUGAGGGAUGACGGCCUUCGGGUUGUAAACCUCUUUUAGUAGGGAAGAAGCGAAAGUGACGGUACCUGCAGAAAAAGCACCGGCUAACUACGUGCCAGCAGCCGCGGUAA